CUCACAUCAUUAAACUUGCAUUCCAAAUACUCUGUCUUGUUCCUACUCAACCUGAACCCUUCAGACUCAAGAGUUUAUCUCUAUAACUCUAAUUUAUCAUUCACACCCCCUCCCCCCACAUCUCAUCAAUCAAAACUACAUCAUCUUCAAAAAGCAUACACCAAGUCACCUCUCCUUGAAUACGCCGCGUCAACACAUCCAUCACCAAAGCAAACAAAAAGGAAUUAAGAGUAGAUCCCUGAUGCAAUCCUGUCA
rnacentral:lncRNA from 1 species